UACGGAGGAUGCGAGCGUUAUCCGGAUUUAUUGGGUUUAAAGGGUGCGUAGGCGGAUCGUUAUGUCAGUGGUCAAAUUGAGGGGCUCAACCCCUUCCCGCCAUUGAAACUGGCGAUCUUGAGUGGAAGAGAAGUAUGCGGAAUGCGUGGUGUAGCGGUGAAAUGCAUAGAUAUCACGCAGAACCCCGAUUGCGAAGGCAGCAUGCCGGCUUCCUACUGACGCUGAAGCACGAAAGCGUGGGGAUCGAACAGG
rnacentral:rRNA from 1 species